CUGAGUUAGGGUCUUCUAGGCCCGACCUCCAACCCUUUGCCUACCUUACCUCUUGUUGCUUCGGCCGGCCCGUCCCCCUAGAAAUAGGGGUCGACCGCCGGAGGGCUCACGCCCUCUGGCCCGCGCCUGCCGAUGGCCCUCAACCAAAACUCUUGUUCAAUCGUGAAUUGUCUGAGUACAAAAACAAAAUAAACCAA
rnacentral:misc_RNA from 2 species